ensembl:lncRNA
CGGAGCCCUCGGCCAGGCAGAAUCCCUGCCGAGCUGAGCGCGCUGCCGUCACUCGGUGGUUUGCCAGAGGGAGGCCUGUUGGCUCCAGCUCUGCGGGAUUCUCCCAUGAUGCACAUGCAGUCAGCAGAUGCAAAUGGGUGAGAACAUGUUGAUUUCAGCAGCCCAAUGCUCUGGUGGGGGAAGACUCUGGAACUUCUGAGGAUGUUUUACAUUGGCACCCCAGUAAACACCUGUGCUGCUGAGCAGCAAAGGACACUCAUGCUCCUGCUGCAGUCUGCACUGCACUCUGAGUUUACACAUUGUCUACACUGUGACUCAGUGCAGAGCCCCACUGCAAACAGAGGACCCAUGUGGCUGCUCGCUGCAGGGCUUCGCGCCCUCCUGCACCAUGGACAGCCUGGACUGCUUCCAGCAUGGAGCUCUGGUACUUCUCAUCAGCAGCAAAAUACUCACUGAAGUUUGCAAAUACAGUUUUUGUCUCUGCCAACCUCAUCCCCCUUCACCUGGCAAAAGUCUAUUGCCAGCACAGGCUGCUCAGCACCAAAGCAUUUGACAACAUGUGGGUAGGGGACACCCUGUGUGCACACUGCCCAGGAAGAGUUUUCACUCCGUAUUUGAGCCACUGCUGUAAGGGCUGGGAGGGAUGGCAGGAGUUCAUGCUCAGGAGGCUGCAGGGCUUACACCAUAGUGAUGGUACAUCAGGGCUGAUGUAACUUGUGGGACUCCUCAACCGGAAUCCCAAAGCAAGUGAAUGCAAAGCUCAGCUAAAAUGCCUCUCGGAAAGCAAGGAGCACCAUUUGAGCAGGAAACACCGGCUAAACACUGCAGGACUCAGACAUGACUGAGAAGGAAACUGAGUGAAUGGAAACAUACAUCCAGGAGACAAAGGUGUGGAAAUACCUUUGGUUUCAAAAAGCCAUUCUCUGGGUGCUGCUCCCUGUGGUUUGGGACCCUGCAGUCCCCACAGCCUGAGCAGGGGCAGCUGUGCGUGUCGGAGUGAAGGCUACAGCCAGUGUGCGGGGCCAUUCCAGGGCAAAGCCAACAGGGCCUAAACCUGAGGGAACCAAGUCUGAGGAACGCUGCUGCUGUGCUGAACGCUGCUGGUGAAACACUCGGUUGUGUGUUCUUUUCAGGAAUGUGAUUCGCAGAGGCCGCCUUCAAGCAAUGCGAACCCAUGGAACACACAGCAAUGAAAAGCCGGCAAAAGUUUCACAGCGCCACACAACCGCUGCCAUCAGGAAUGCGCUCCGACGGCGCUGCGCUCCCCGGGUGCGGCGCGGUGAAGCGCUGUGCCCCAGCAGCUCCUGGGGACGCGACGCAUUAACGUUACCUCGAAACAGCUGUUCAAAUGCUGCAGGACACGCCGCGGACCUCUGACCCGCAGGUGAAGAGGGAAUGA